rfam:Cephalotus follicularis DNA, scaffold: scaffold3936, isolate: St1.
AAGAGCGACCAUAUCAGCACUAAUGCAUGGGAUUCCAUCAGAACUCCGAAGUUAAGCAUUCUUGAGCAAGAAUAGUUCUAAGAUGGACUUGACUUAUGACUUUCACAAAUUCAGGCUAGUGGCUUGAC